UACGAAGGGGGCUAGCGUUGCUCGGAAUCACUGGGCGUAAAGCGCACGUAGGCGGCUUCUUAAGUCAGGGGUGAAAUCCUGGAGCUCAACUCCAGAACUGCCUUUGAUACUGAGAAGCUUGAGUCCGGGAGAGGUGAGUGGAACUGCGAGUGUAGAGGUGAAAUUCGUAGAUAUUCGCAAGAACACCAGUGGCGAAGGCGGCUCACUGGCCCGGUACUGACGCUGAGGCGCGACAGCGUGGGGAGCAAACAGG
rnacentral:rRNA from 1 species